UCUGUCUCCAGGUUCAAGUGAUUCUCCUGCCUUAGCCUCCUGAGUAGCUGGGAUUAGAGGCAUGCACUACCAUGCCUGGCUCAUUUUUUGGUAAUUUUUAGUAGAGAUGGGGUUUCACCAUGUUGACCAAGCUGGUCUCGAAUUUCUGACCUCAAAUGAUCUGCCCGCCUUGCACCUUGGCCUCCCAAAGUGCUGGGACUAUAGGCAUGAGCCAACAAGCUUGGCCUUUUUUAAAAAAAAAACAAAAAACAAAAAGCAAAACAGAUUUCACUGCAGCACGAGUCCUGUCUUUGAAAUGAAUUAGGUCAACUGAAGGCUUAAUCACAAUGUUUACAUUCAUACCGUUUCUCACCAGUGGGAAUUCUUUCGUGUUCAAAAGAAACUGGAACAAUCAAGGGCUUAAGAACAAUGUUUGUAUUCACACAGCUUCUGUCCAGUAUGAACUCUUUUGUGUAUUCAGAAGGAGCUGGAACAACCGAAGGCUUCAGAAUGUUGCUUAUAUUCUUAGACUUUCUCUUCCAUAUGAGUCCUUUCAUGCAGUCGAAAGUGACUGGAAGAAAUGAAGGCUUUUCCACAUUGUUUGCAUUCAUAAGGUUUCUCUCCAGUGUGAGACCUUUCAUGAAUUCGAACAGAACUUGAAAAUCUGAAGGCUUUCCCACAUUGUUUACAUCGAUAGGGUUUCUCUCCCGUGUGAGUUCUCUCAUGCAUUCGAAAUUUACUGGAAGAAAUGAAGGCUUUUCCACAUUGUUUACAUUGAUACGGUUUCUCUCCAGUGUGAGUCCUUUCAUGCAGUCGAAUUUGACUGGAACGAAGGAAGGCCUUACCACAUUGCUUACACUCAAAAGGUUUAUUCCCAGUGUGAAUUUUUUCAUGUUCUCGAAGGGAACUUGAAAAACUGAAGGUUUUACCGCAUAGUUUACAUUCAUAGGGUUUCUCUCCAGUGUGUGUUCUUUCAUGCAGUCGAAAGGAACUGGAACGAAUGAAAACUUUUCCACACUGUUUACAUUCAUAGGGUUUCUCUCCAGUGUGUGACCUUUCAUGAAUUCGAAAAUAACUUGAACACCUGAAGGCUUUCCCACACUGUUUACAUUCAUAGGGUUUCUCUGCAUUGUGAGUCCUUUCAUGUCUUUGAAGGGAACUUGAAAAACUGAAGGUUUUACCACAUUGUUUACAUUCAUAGGGUUUCUCUCCAGUGUGAGUCCUUUUGUGUCUUUGAAAAGAUUGGUAACAUAUAAAGGCUUUCCCACACUGUUUACAUUCAUAGGGUUUCUUUCCAGUAUGAGCAUGUUUUUGAAAAGACUG
rnacentral:lncRNA from 1 species